GGCCCAAUGGUCUAGUGGUAUGAUUCUUGCUUUGGGUCGGCUCGUUCGCCAAAGUGCAAGAGGCCCCGCGUUCGAAUCGCGGUUGGGCCC